rnacentral:rRNA from 1 species
UACAGAGGGUGCAAGCGUUGUUCGGAAUUAUUGGGCGUAAAGCGCACGUAGGCGGAUCGUUAAGUCGGGGGUGAAAUCCUGGAGCUCAACUCCAGAACUGCCUUCGAUACUGGCGAUCUUGAGUCCGGAAGAGGUGAGUGGAACUCCUAGUGUAGAGGUGGAAUUCGUAGAUAUUAGGAAGAACACCAGUGGCGAAGGCGGCUCACUGGUCCGGUACUGACGCUGAGGUGCGAAAGCGUGGGGAGCAAACAGG